GUGUGGUGUAGUGGUUUGAGUAUUGGACUGCUACUCUGGAGACUAGGGUUCAAUUCCCUACUUGAACA